rnacentral:lncRNA from 1 species
UUUCACCACAAUGUCUAUGAUCUUUCCCCAGCCUAGGGCUUCUCCGUUCUUCACCACUUCCAUGGCUUGUUUGUAAGAAGAAAUGGACAACUUCUUCUCUUUCUCAACACUGAUGGCUUCCCCUACCUUGACGGUUUCAACAGCCUGACCUGGUGUUUCACAUUUUACACCGUCCAUUCCUACUUCCAUCAUCCUCUGAGUCGUCUCCCUCAUCAUUG